GCAUCCGUAGCUCAGCUGGAUAGAGUACUGCCCUCCGAAGGCAGGGGUCACAGGUUCGAAUCCUGUCGGAUGCACCA
rnacentral:tRNA from 2 species